GCCCUAAAAAGAAAAAAACUCCCUUCUAUGUAGCAUACCGUGUGUGUUUUUAAAGGCAAUCUUUUAAAAUAUUUCAUAAAUAUAUUUUUUAUAUUUAUAAUUUUAAAGUCUAAUGAAAAGAAAUCCUAGAAAACUAUUUGCUCUUGAUUUAUCUAUAAUCAGAAAUACGUGUUUCUUUAUUAGAUUUGUCAUAUGAACUUUUUGGUGCUUAUUCUUUUUUAUUGAAGUACAAUUCAUUUAAAAUGUUGGGUUAGUUUCAGGUGUACAGCAAAAGGAUUCUGACGUUUUUGGAUUCUUUCCACAAUAGGUUAUUACAAGCUAUUGAAUAUGGUUCCCUGUGCUGCACAGUAGGUCCUUGCUGUUUAUCUAUUUUAUGUAUUAUAGUGUAUGUAUAUUUAUCCCAGACUCCUAAGUUAUGCCCUCCCCCAACUCCCUGCUAUCCCCUUUGGUAACCGUAAGUUUGAAGUUAGAGAAAAAAAAAAUCAUAUGAUAUCACUUAUAUGGGGAAUCAAAAAAAAAAAGAUACACAUGAACUUAUUUACAAAACGGGAAGAGACUCACAGACAUAGAAAACAAGCUUUUGAAAGUGGUUUUGCUGGAUGUUUUCCAUUUGCCCUGAAGCCUGACCUUUACGAGCCGUUCUCUGCCUCUCCGUUUGUCAUCAUCCAAAGAGGACCACUGGGUCCCUCCAGGGAGAGGAGCAGGAUUGGGUCAGGCUGUUUAUUCCCAAACACCUGCACCACACGCACGGCUAUUGCGGGCUGCCUGUGGCUCACGGCAAGAGUCCCAGCUUUUGUCCCUCUGCAGUUCUCCGUCCCUGGUUCCCAGCUUCUCCCUGCCCCACCCUUCAGAACAAGCCACCGCAUCACUGGGAGGUCCCUGCCUCUGCCACAGCUCUGUAACGAGUGCUGUUAUGGGGCACUCCACAUGCCACUCCAAUGGAGCAUGCCAUCCAAUCGCGCUGGGACCCCAACCUAUGCACUCCUUAUUAUCUCACAAGAUUCUUACAAAAAACCCACGAGAGAAGAAGGCCAUUCAUGAUUUUCUCAACAGAAUGAAGUUGAGGCAGGCUGGGGGGGACCAGCCCACCCAAGAUCACAGAGCUGCUAACUGACAGAGGCUGGCUGGGAGUGGGGGUCCCUUCCCUGCACAGGGGUCUUUCUUCCCAGGGCAGCCCCUUCUGGUGUGGCUCUGUCGUCACAGUUAAGUCCGAGCUGGACGUUGGCUUCAUCUCUCACUCAUUACAAAAAAGUGGGAGCCAGCAGCGUGCUCACAUGAUGUCCUUUUGUUUCUUCUUUUAUUAUAAAGCACCUCAAGCUCAUUGCUAAAGGGCACAGCAUUAAUUUAAAGGUAACAGAUAGCACCAUGGAAAUUGGAAGAAUAAAAUAAAAAUAUAUGCUCAUAAGACUACCUGUGUGCACUCAAUCGCAGUGUUAUUGGCCACACACCAUUCAUAACACACCUCCUAGAGGACUCCAACCAGUCCGUCUUUAUUGCAGUUUCACCCUUCAGAGGUUUUGGAAUUCCAAGACGGCACCAUGGAGGCUGGAUCUGCGGGGUCUGCCAGUCUUGCACCUGGGUGGUGACCAGUGGAACACCUGUAUCCAGGUGUCUCUUGGUUCAGCUCUUACUCUACACGAGCUGCUCUGAGAAAGAGGAGUGCCACAUACCCUCUCAUUCCAGGUGUACUUUAAAUGCACUACUCUACUUUCAGUGGACUCUGAAUUAGAUUAUAAGCAGGAAAUAGAGACUGGUUGAAUGUGCUGUGUGAAGUUACCGAGCUACAAUAGCAAAGGCAUCAAUUAAACAUUUGCUAAUCAUCUGCUAGGCCCUGGCCCCUGUGCUGAAGGCACCGAGGAAUAAGACCUUCGUUCUCUCAAGUUCAGUCCAGCAAGGGAGACUAGCCCAAGGAUGCUCGCGAGAUGGUCAUCUCAGUUGUCAGUUAUAAACCUAGAAAGCCGUCUGUACAGAGGCGCCCUUUGGAUAACCCUUGGCCGACGUGAUUGGCUGUUGCUGGACACCAACCCGGCUGGAAAACGUGACCUUCUCUCACCUGAACUUGGACCCCCAGGGCCUCAGGUGCUCCCUCCUGAUGGAUGGAGCCAAGCCCUUCCAACCUUCUGGUUGACCCUGGUCCUUAUGGGCUUCUCAUAGCGCUGGACAUUCUUAUUGCCUUUGUGGCUCCAAAACCACGUGGCUGGCAGUUCUGCAAGGGGUCAAGAACAUUGGGGUGAACCAAAUGGAAAACCACGGCUCGCCACCAGGGAUGUUCUAGAUGGAGGGGUGCUGGGUGCCUGUGCCUGGAGGUAGGGGGAUUGGGCUGCCUUGCAAGAAGACCUGCACUGCCAGGAGCAGCAAGCAGGUGAGAGGUGAGAAGGGGCCACAUUAGAGAUGCAGGCCAGGUGGGCUGUGCUGACCGUGGUAGAGAUGGAGCGACUUGAUACGACUGGGGUUUUUAAACCCUGUGCAGGCUGUUGACCAGAAUGGAAGAUGCCCAGAGUGGUGGCUGGGACCCUAAGUAAUUGGUUACGUAGGCACCUGAGCAAGAGGAGAGCAAGCCUGAAGCUGAGACAGUGCAGGAGCGGGAUGCCGGCUGGUGCUCACUGCCUGGAUGCAAUUUUCUCCGGUUCAGAGAGAGAUGCUGUCUGUUCUUUCAAUUACGGCUUCCACGGCGACUUUCCUGCCUUUCCCUCCCAGAUCAGCAGUAAACGCGUGGAGAAGGACCCUGGGCUGGGUGUCUCUUCAUCAGGAAAAGGCUUCCCAAAUGUUUGAAAGGAGGUAUUUAUUGUGCAAUGAAUUCACACUCCUGCCUUCCAAGGAACGUAAAGAAAGAUUUGUAAAAGCUCCUUCAACCAGCAGCCCAGCCCCCAGCCGGGACAUCCACGUUCAAGUCUCCUCUCUGGCCCCGCUGCAUCCGGAUCGCUGUUGUUGAACAUUUAAGGUCUUCCUCCUACAAACGGAACAUGAAGUGGUCAGUCGUGCUGAGCUAAUCCUCUAGGAGGAAUGUGGGGAUGACAGGAACCCAGGUCUUACCCACCCUCCCAAAGCUUAAUCGGCAGUUCACGCGCAGUUGGGUUUGAUUUUUCAUCUCACAGCAUCUUAGAAUUGAUGAGGACCUGGACUUUUAUUUUUAGCUGAAUUCCAGUGUUGUAAUUAUGUUGCAAAUAGCAGACUGUGUUUGCCUGUUCUUUUAAAUUUCCCAUUUCCCAUUCUCUUGGUGAAUAUUAUGACGUAGGUCGGGAGCUGCUUAGACGUGCUUUAGAAAACAUAAAAAUGUGACUGUGCACAGUGACAGGCUGCAUUUCAUGGAGCAAAGAAAUGCAUCUGCAGGACCAGCUUGGAGGGAGAAACUUGGGGCUGGGGAUGGGAGGGUGGGCUCGCAGGCAGCGUCCUUCCCUGGACUUGCGGACCAUUGGAGGUGGGGCUGGGGAGAAGGUGGAGCUGAGAGUAAUUCCCAGGCCAAGACCAGGAUGGGCACGCAGCGGGUAUGAGAGGUGAGGGUACAACCGGCAGCCUCCAGUGGCAUGUCCGGGGCUUCCUAGACGGGCUCUGAGAGAUCCGUCAGUCCACCCCAGUGAACCUCACGACCUGGACACACUUCCCUGAGGCAGAGGGGCACAGGAGCAGCAGGAGGUGGGCAGAACCCUGGGGAAAGGCUCCAGGGAUGAAGAGCCCAGGAAGAAGAUACCAAGAAGGAGACUGGAAAAGGGCAGCCUGGAGCUUGCGGAGGCCAAGAGAGUGUAGGAUGCAGGGAGAGGCCGUUUGCCCUAUGCCCGGCUCCGAGCUGGGCGGCCGCCCUGGAUGGACCACAUUCAGAGGCUCCUGUGCCUUUUGCUCUAGGUGGGGUUGGCCAAUGGGCGGCACAGGCAGGAAGGGGUGCCAAGGCUGGACCUAGUGCCCGUGCUGUGCCCCUUAUUCUCUGCCCCCGGCCCCUCUUCCCAGUGCCUGGGGACCCAGCCAGCCUGUGCUGUUUUCUUGGCCCCUGUGCACAGGCUCUGCAAAGUCCCUUCAUGAAGCACUCCGCAGCUGUGCUGCUCUGAGAGCAAUGUAUUUCCCAGCUUGGACGCUGAGCGAUGCAGUGACUCCAGUUUGUACCAGGCAAGGAGGUCACAAGUCUGUCUAAAAUACACUCUUUGACGUUAGCACUCGGGCUUGCAUGGCUUCGGGGCUGGGGGCUGUUUCAGUGAAGGUGUGCAGGGAAAAGACGAUGAGAGCCCCAAAGGGAGUGCGCUGUUUUUCAGGGCUCGUCGCUGCAGAUGCCUCGCCAGCCCACCUGCGAAUGGUCCCGCCCAGAAGGAAGGGGACACCUUCCCCAGGCGUUUGCCACCUUAGCACUUUAUUCACAGUGUAGCUGCUUUUAAUGACAUUCUUAAAUAGUGGUAAUCUUUUCUUUCUUAAGCUGUCAACAAUCGCUAUUUUUUACACAUUAAGAAGCAAACAGAAGCUGUUGGUGUGGAGUUCCCACGGUGACACACAGGAUAGGCAGCAUCUCUGCAGCCCUGGGACAUAGGUUCCAUCCCCACCUGGCACA
rnacentral:lncRNA from 1 species